CCUACGGGGGGCAGCAGUGAGGAAUAUUGGUCAAUGGGCGGAAGCCUGAACCAGCCAAGUCGCGUGAGGGAAUAAGGCCCUACAGGUCGUAAACCUCUUUUGCCGGGGAGCAAGGGCCGGGACGCGUCCCGGCCCGGAGAGUACCCGGAGAAAAAGCAUCGGCUAACUCCGUGCCAGCAGCCGCGGUAAUACGGAGGAUGCGAGCGUUAUCCGGAUUUAUUGGGUUUAAAGGGUGCGUAGGCGGGCUUUUAAGUCAGCGGAAAAAAUUCGGGGCUCAACCCCGUCCGGCCGUUGAAACUGGGGGC
rnacentral:rRNA from 1 species